UUGUUGAUUAAACAGGAAACGAUGGUUAUUUAACGUGAACUCAUGAUCAUGUUUGACGCGAAUCACAAUAACGUAUUAUAAUUAAGACAAUUCUCAACUCACAAUGACUGUUAAUUCAUCUUUGUCCCUUAGCAACUCCUUAUCUUUUCUCUUAGCCUCGUGUCUUUCGUCUUAGCCUCACCACGUACGUGUUCCGCAGCCGCUUGUUUUAAUUCGCCCGACCCCCCAGGCCCCUCAUCCGCGAUACUACGAUAACAUAAUAUAAAAUUUGUAUAAUUUUAGUAAAGUAAUUUUAAGUAUAAAACUUUGUUCGCAUCGAUAAGAUUAAGCGAUAUCGUGACAAAGUAGCCUAGCGAAAUGACGACUCAACACAGUUAAUAUUAUUGAGAAACGUUAAGUUGGUACGAUCGUUAGUUCCUACAAGCUAAGUUGGUACGACUUUUAACGACGCUCUUUUGUCUUAGGAGUGGAUCACGUGUUAAUUAACUGAGUGUAUCCGGUGUGUUCAGACGUCUUGUACGAGGUGGUGAAAUAUAAAAAAUAAAAUUCAAUCUGUGUGAAUCUAUUAAAUAUCAACUCAAACCUAUAUUUAAUAGCAAAUAUUUGAAAAUUCAGUAGAAAAUCGAAUGGAGAAAUCGCAAUGGCCAUCGUCCAUCAAAGAACCAUCGAAUCGACGUGCGCGAGGCAUCAUAGACGUCGCUGGGAUCGAACGUACCAGGACACGAGGGCGAUAAUGAUGAUGACGUCGGCGGUCAUUACCGCGGAAGCGUACCGCCCAUUUUGUUUCUUUCGCCACCGCGUUUUAAAAGAAGGUAGCAACGAACGACGAACGAGUCUUGGGCUGGAUCGGCCAAAGGGACCCUGUGAUCCCCUGCUUCGUAGCCCGAGCGAUAUUAAUUGGCCGAUCAUCGACAGCCCUGCCACCCCAAAGCCGAACGAUUCGUCGAAAAAGCGAACGCAGCCAACGGCACCGGUUCUCGGUUGCGCAAAACAGCUCAUCAAACAUCCAUAACGACAGCUACAGGAAAACGGGGCUACCCUUUGCGCUCUCACCCUCUUGCCUGCUGCUUCUCUCUCGCGGCUUACCCCUACUCCGUGUGUACAUACUCGACACGACGUUUUAGUUCUCGACAGUCGAACUCGGCCAAACCUCCGACAAGGGCUCCGCUAAUGAAUUUGGAAAGUGUAAUCAGUAGCGUAGCUACUGGCAGAGGAUGCUGGUAGCGGAGGAGAAAGGCAGCAGAGGGAGGGGAUGACUUGAGGGUCGAGGAGCCGGCGAAAUCGUCGGUGGAGGAACGAGGAACAAGGAGAAGCAGAGCCACGGCACCGUAUCAGAACCGGAGGGAGGAAAGAGGGAUGAAAGAGGGCGGAUGUGACGCGGAAUGAUGGAGCGCGGACCGUGGAGAAAAAUGAGAGUGGCGGAAAGGCGAGGGUGGAGGGACGCUGAUGGAUCGGCGCUCCUCCCUCCGUUGCACCCUCUCGCGGCUCUCUCACGCCCGACCGUCCCUGGGCUCCCACCCCCGUCAGCCACCCUCCACGUUCAGAUAAUGACGGAGGGUUGAAUGUUUGAAUUAGGAUCAGUGGAAAUUGUACGCAACGCUCGUAAUACUACGCCGACUGGUGAUGUUAAGGUAGCGCUGUGUGAGUGUUAUCAGUACACGACAUAUACUGGGCGUUUUGAAGGUUAGGACAAUUGGGUGUUCCAUUCCAGAUCUACUCUAUGCGCUUCAUAUGUGUUCCAUGUUAUUGAAUUCCAUCACAAAUAUAACAAGAAUGGUAUUUUGUUAAAUCUUGACACGAAGGUUAUUCUGGGAAUUAAUAUCAUCCGUGCCUGUAACCCAUCCUGACAGCAUCCUGAAGCAGGAGCUCCACGGAAAUUAUUUAUUCAUACUCGAUCUUCCAUGACUAACCACGCUUGCCGCAACCCUCGUGGUGAAACGUGCAGGGGUCGGAGGUUUAUCGAAACAGUUUCCAGUUGCUGCUCAAUAAUAUCGAACAUCGAACAGAAGCCACGAUAACGUGAAAAUUAGCACCUCGUCGUAGGAGCUUGAACUUAUCGCGUUCUUUGCAUUCUUUUAGAUCCAAUUGUUAAUCAAUUUAUUAAAUUAGAGAAAAUUGAUACUACUUGAAAGAUAAAAAAUUUUGUUGACACAAAAGCGAAAUUGAAACAUAAAAAUUCAGAUAUCGUAACAGAGUUAAAUAAAAUAGCAACUUUGAAAUUAUUAUCGAUCAAUGUUUAAAUCAGAAAAAUUCGAUUGCGAAUGUGAAGCACUUGACUCGUUGCUACUCUCAUUUCCCAAUUUAACGUGACGUAAUUGAACGAGAUUGUUAUCGAUGAAUCUACAUUUUAUCGGCAUGUACAUCGAUUUGGUAUACAAAAUGGGGACUAUUUGCAUGCGACAAACACGAGGAUACAAAUAAUCAGUCGGACGUUUCAUGAUGUUAUGUUAAACAAUUUUCUGGCAAAGCCAGUGCAUUUAGUCUAAGAUAUAUAUUGACAAAUGCGUGGAUAUUUCCGGUAAAUAUUGCAUUUUCCACGAGGCUAAACAACCAGCAUAUGCACGUUGCAAUUUCGUCGAUGUAUAUACCAACGACUGAAUCUGUUAGGCAACGACUCACCAACAAAUCCGUAUAUUUAUUUGUUGUGUCUGAUGCAAAACCCAUACGUUUUGCGUCCACCUUUUUUGAUCCGAUAAAUUAUAAGCUUGCGUUGCAGCGGAUUCCUGUCAGCUCCGUGACACGUUUGCCAAACCGGUGAUUGGUCAACGGGUAUCGGUUGGAAAUUACUUGUCACGCUCGACGUCUGAUCUUUUUCUCCCAUACCCACCAGAUCCAUCAAAGAAAUCAUAUCAAUUUUAAUUUCUCCUCGAAUUUCAUAUCCAUUAGCGCACAAACUUUUCCUCUAUCCAACAGUGAAACUGAUUAAAUUUUUAAAAAAGCAAUUAAAAAUGAAAGUAGAUUUGAUGUAUUCUUCGUACAAUAUUACAAGUAUGAUAAAAUAAUUGAACUGUUGAACAACUAGAGUAUCAGAUAUGUUCAUUUAAAAUGUCAAUAUAUUUAUAUAUAUAUAUAUAUAUCCGAAAGGUGUCUUUCUUUCGCAAACGCGUACAAACGUGAAAGCAUGUCUGUGAAACGUCGCG